rnacentral:lncRNA from 1 species
UAUUGUGAUUCAAAACACCUCAUAGAAUAAAAAUUAUCACCUGGAUAUUAAGUUUGAAUGAGGAAAAUAAAGAAUUUUAUGGAGAAAACUUGUUUUCCAAACUACCUACUUGCUGGAAUUUUUCAACCUCAGCCGAGAGAGAUGAAAGAGAUUUUUUUUUCUGAUAUUUCUCUAUAGAUUUUGGGCUGUAAACUUUCAUAUUAAGGUUGAUUACACCUUAUAAUAUCAUUAGAUGGUCAUGUAUGUGAAUUUUGGGGUGAAAAUGUGAUUUUUAUGGCUGGAUUCUUGUUUGAAAGACUGUUAGGCUAAUAAACCAUUUACAGUUUAGUCAAUGGAAUUUCUUGGCAUUUGAAUGGAUAUUUUAGUAUAAAAUUUGCUGGAAAUGCUUGAUUUGUACUUGUUGGUGUAUUAUGAGUUUGUUGGUGAGUGAUUGGUGGCUGGAAAUAAAAUCUAAACAGUUAAAAUGGAAGAAAAGUUUGCUAUACCAACUAUAGGAAUCAAAGGAGCCUUGUAACUUAUAUAAGAAGAUAUCCAUUUAUUACUUGGUUUAAUAGGCUCUAUAUAAAUUGUAUACACAUCUUAAGGUAAUAAACUAGUUAUGCAUGUGGUCUUGGUUAAUAAAAGAUGGAAUUAUGUGACAAGAAAGUACUUUAAGGUUAGCUACUUCUAAACUUACCUUGUUAAACGUUGAUGUUGAGUUUUAGUACGAUAAAUCUAACAGUAUAAAAGUAGUGAAGUGAUAUUACUGGAAUUGCUACUUAAACUUCCUUUCUUUUGGAGAUUAAAAGUUGAAGUAACAAGUGAGUGUGAGAAAAUGCACUAGUCGCCUCAUUUAAACAUAGCAAUGACUUAGAUUUCGGGUGGAAUGGUGACUUAAGGCUAGAAUACAACACGUAUUUUGAUUAUACUUUAGAACUUCACCAAAAGAGUAGUUAAAUAAUUAUGGCAAUUACAACUUGUCUCAGGAGACAGCGGUGUACAAGAAAGCAAUUCCGAGAUCGAAGUGUAACUUUUGAUUAGGGUGAGUGUUUCCGGAUUUAUGUGUUUAACUGUUUAUGUUUACUUAAGUGAAAUUAUUUGACAAAUGUGCUUGUUAUGAAUUAUUGCUAAGUGAUUCAUUGUAAAGUGUAUCUCAAUUGUCCCUCGCCUUCUAAGUCGAGGGUGUACUUUAUCGCACUCGGCUUAGUUGAGGUUGAAGGUUGAUAAUUGACUAAAUGUUACUGUAAGUGUGCAUGAAUGUAAGCCGUAUGUGUACUUUACCGCAUCGGCUGAACUGGGCCCCAAAACCCUCUGUUCAACGGACUAUUCGAGUCAGUAAAGGGCUUGGUCGGAUAGGACGGAAGCUUUGGGUAACUGUUUCUGUAUACUCGAGUAUUACCCUAAAGUUGAGAGAUUAUUGAAUUGAUUACUGAAUAAAGGGGAUUGUUUAUUGUUUUGGAGGACAUAAGGAGGUGAAUUGGCGGAGUGUACAAUGAUAUUGAAAUGAAUGUACAAUAACAUUGAAAUAAGUGUGCAAUGAUAUUGAAAUGACACUGAAUUACUGAAUGGAACUAAGUGCUACGUCUGGAACGGACGAGAGCCACCUCUAGAGUCCGUAUCAGUAUCGUAUCCUUUGAGGUGAUUGAUUACUUUUAUUAAAUUUGAUAUCCUAAAUUGUUAAGUUUGGUGAAUGUUUUAUACUGCUAAUUGGUUGUUGUAUCUUUUUGAAAGUGACUAUCAGUGAAAUGUGCAUUACUUGCUUAAUUUUACUGGUUAAGUGUUUAUUGAAUGUUACUUGUUCAGCAAACCUCACUGAGCUUUAGUUCAACCCUUUAGUUUUGUUUUCCUUACAAGAUUUGGUGGUCAGGGAAUGAACGAGGGAUCUUAGGGAGUUAACAUGAAAACUUUUGCGAUUGUAAAUCCUUUAAUAUCAUAUUAUGAUUGAGGCUAUUAUACUUGGUAUUGUAAAAGAUUUGAGCAUCUAGUUUUGGUUUAUCAAACUGUUAUCUUUGAAGUUAAUUUAAGUGAGUGAGCCCUGGCGAGAGGAAUUUAGGCGGUCCACUAACUUCUAGGGUAUGCCCUAUGAGGAGGUGGGGCCGUCACAGGUGGUAUCAGAACUCUUAAUGAGCUCAAGCCAGGAGAGGGUUCUCGGACUGUGGGGAAUGACCUAUUAAGUGUUGAACUAAUUACUAUUGCUAAGGGAAUUAGAUAUGUACAUUGGGUAGGAAUCUCAAAUUUGGUUGAUUUACACUUGGGAGUGGCCGGCCUGAGUUGUUAAUUAUCCUAUUUUCAAAUUCUUGUACCUGAGGACCAGAUAUUUCGUUCAAUGGUGUAAUUGUAAAUUGGGAAGAAUUUAGUAUAUUGCAUUAUGAUGUGACUAGAAAUCAUGAUUAAAUUUGGAAAAAUAGAAUCGAAAGGACGAAGUCUAGCUUUUGAAAGUUAAAGGUGAAGAGCCAAUAGUGAAAUCUUGAAGAUUAGUGCAGAUUCUGUUUUUAAGAUGAAUAAUUUUACUAGUCGUUCAAUGGUAAAUGGAUUAUAUGCCAUCUCUUACCCAAAAACGUGUGUUUAGACCUAGAAUUUGAGUGAAAUAGUAGCUUAAGUAAGAACUAUGCAGUUUGAAUAGCUCUAAACCUUGAGGAGAGUUUUCAAAAUUGAGGUGAGAUAAGUUUGACGAAUUUGCCAUGUGAUUAGUAUGCAACCAUUUGCAAAUAAUUAUAUGUGAGUUCUCGAUGACAUUGUGGCUCCUUAAUUUUUUUUUUAGGAUUAUUUGGGGCUAAUGUCCAAUAGAAAAGCCAAUGUAUGAAAUGUUUGAGUUCAUUUAGAAUAUUUGAGAGCCAUUGAUGCACUUAGGUAAUGAUCGUACUAUUUGACUUCAUAUUAGACAUAGUAGAUCUACAAUUUGCUAAGAAAUUUUUAUUAGUCUUACUAAUGGGGUAAUUGGGUUAGUAAAUGCGUUUGAAAAAAAAUUGUCACCUUGGCUAUGUUGGGAUGAUCAUACACGGUAGUCAGUAUAAAAUAAACUUCUAUCAAUGGAUAAGAUUAAGACAAGGUUUAGGUUAAUGUGCUUUAACUAUUAAAACAAGACUUAGAUGGAUGAAAUAAGAAAAUGAAUUAAUUUGCAGUGAAAUUUAGAGAAAUGUAAUAUGUGGAGUAGGUGGUGAUUAUUAGGGCAAUGAUGUUAUGGUGAAUCAUUACAGUUUAUAGGUCUAAGGAAAUAUUUAUCGAAACAUGUUUAUAAGUAGUUGAUAUAACAAUUAUUGAUAACAAGAAGCAGGAAAGAGUGAGAACAUGUAUAAAAUUUAAAAGUUAGUAAAUUUGAUCUAUUUAUCGUCUCAUAAGUUUGGAAGUAAGGACAGACUAAUGUUGAAGCCAUGACUUGAUAGUUCUAUUGAAUGGAAUGAUAUUAUUGGGAUAUUUGAACCGACAGUUAGUGUGAGAUAGGCUAUGAUCGAUCUAAAAAAAAUAAAAUAAUAAUAUAUCCCAAACUUUUGUUAAUAAAGGUAAGAAUUUCAAGGAUCUACCAGCUCUAUUAUGGACUGACCCAAUAAACCGUUAGAUUGGGAUGAUUGAGUCAGGAACUUUGCCAUAUUUGGAUACUGAAUGUACUUAAACUAAAGACUUGUUUGACUUCUUAUUAAAGUGUAUUUAAGCUUGAUAUAUGCUGUAAUUGACUUUGUUAUGUGGUGCAAUUUAAUUGAUCAUGAAUUUGCUUUGUACUGAUGAUAUAUAUAUGGAGUGAAUGUGUUUCUGGGUUACAGUUAACUACAAUUAUAUGCAUGCAUAAUUGAUUAUUACAUAUUUGUAAAUCAACUAGUUGUGAGAGAUAUAGAGUUUAGGGAGCGAUAACGUCAGGUUUAUAAUGUUAUCAUAGGUAUAGAUUGUUUAAUUAUGUAUAAUGCCCAGUUGAAUUGUAUAACUAAAGAAAUUGAAUUUUAUACACUUGGGGAAGUAGCCGAUACAAUACUUAAAUUGGAAAGGGGAAAUGUAACGCCCAAAAGAAAAGAAAAAAAGAAAAAUUUUUCUGGUGACCAUAAUUUUUGCAGAAUUCGCCGCAUAUCCGACCAGUUUCUAGCCGGAUACUUGGCCGGAUUCGUUGGCUUGUUUGAAAAAAUAGAAUCUUCACUGCCUUGAAUCCGGCCAGAUUGUGACGUGGCACAGGCGGCAGUCAGGUUUGACUGGCUGUUUUCUUCAUUCUUAUCUUGUUUUUUGGCUGAAAAUAUCUUCAUUUCUUUCCUUGGCUUGGCCGAGCUUCAUGAGGGAGAAAAGAGAGAAAGAAAACUUCAACUUCAUUCUUCCAUUUCUUGCUUACAUCUUGAGAUUUCACCGUUAGUUUUUCAAUCUACUCCAUACAAGUGCUCACUUAGGAGGUUUAAAGCUUUUGAUGGAGUGAUUUUUGAAAGGGAAGCUUUAAGUUGCUAGCUUUCUUGAGUUUGAGAUAAGUUGGAUAAGAAAGUUCUCUCUUGCUUUAAUAAUGGCAUAUUAGUGGCUUUGGUGGCUAAAUAUAUGGAUUUGUGGUAGGUUUUAUGGUUGAAAGUGGAGUUUUGAUGGUUUUUUGAUUUAUUGGUAAUUUUUCUGAUUAUUAUAUGAUAAUCAUUGUUUAGUCAUGGAUUGAUGGCUUGUUAUAGCGUAAAAUGGAGCUUGUAUAUGUUGGAUCUGAUUGGUUACGGAAAAUUUCCGCUUGUGGGGUUAAAGUUCAAAUUAGGGUUUCUAAUUUGGGGCUUUAUUGUGAUUAAUUAUGGAGCUAUCUAAUGGUUGUAUGUGAAGGGUGUUGUGACCCUAAUUAAGAGUGGUUAAUAGCUUAUGAUUUGUAUGUGUAAUUGUGAUUGAGUUGAGAUGUGAUUUGUAAUGUCUUGUGGGAUGGAAAAUAAGGAAUUUAAGGGAAGUACUGUCCAAUCUUUGAGAACAUUUAAUCGCUGUGAGUUUGGCUUAAUUCUUGGUAGAAUGAAGAGCUUGGACUGGAUCGAGGAAACUGUCUAUGAUGGAUGAGAAUUAUGAGCCAUGGUUGGUGAGUGACCCCAAAACUGUUCCAAAGUUACUUUUGAAUGUUUUCUUGCAUUGUUUACUCGAUUGCAUAUCAUGUGUGCUUGCAUGUGAGUUCAUGAUAUGAUUUGGCUUUAAUGAGUUCUUGGGAAGUCUUGUGCUUAGAACCAACGUCUCCACCACUGUUUACUGUUCAUCUGGAGCACCAAGGGCUCCCUAUUACUAUUUCACUGUUACUGGAUCUCUUGAGCGUUGGACGUCUAAGUACUAUGAUUUCACUGACUCACAAGAGCAAUAAACGUACAUUUGAUUACUGAUUCAUGACAUCAUUGAAAUGAACUAUUGUGAAACUUAUUUGAUUACUGAUUUUACUGGUUACUCGCUGAGCUUCUAGUUCACCCCAAAAAUAUUUUAUUUCCCCUCCACAGGGCUCGAGGCGAAGGAAGCAUUUGUAUUAAAGUUCUCCGUGUGAAUGGUUGGAUUAUCUCCUGUAUCGUUGAGUUCCAGAUUUAUCUUGUAUAUAUUAUUUGAGAUUUAGAUUGUAAUUGUAAUUAUGUGAGAACUGAGGACCUUUGUCUUAUUCGGAAAAUUAGUAUUGUUUUAUCUCUUGAGGUUAGUUUGUAGUGAAAUGAGAAUUAUUUGCUUCACUUAUGAUAUGUAAAUUUGUGGAACAUUUGAUGUGUAUUUGAGAUUUAUAUUGUAAUUUAUUUGAGCACUGUAGUGUGAGUGAGUGAGUUCCGGCGAUAGCUGAGCAGGCGGUCCGCCGAACCCUUUGGUUCGCCUUACAGGGAAGUGGGGCUGUCACAGGAAAACGCUAAGACACAAAUAUUCGAAAUUUUUCGUGAUUAAAGGUUCGAAUUUCGAGAACGAAAUUUUUAUAAGUAGGAAAGGAUGUGAGAACCCGAGAAAAUUAUUUUAUUUUAUUUAAUUUGAUAUUAGAAAUAUUAUAUAUAACGAAUAAACGGUUAAGUUAAAUGCCUAAUUGAAUCCCUAUAGAAUUGAGAGUUUAGAAAAUAUUCUAGAAUGGUGUAGAAAAUUUUUAUGAAUUAAAUAAAUAUAUGGCAUUCAUAUCCUAAUUUAUGUCAUUUGCAAAUAUUACUGGACAAGUAAUAUAUACUAUAUAGUUCAAUAAGUACAUGUCUAAUAAAUUCUUCUUAAAGCUAAAUGUGUGAAAUCUACUAGAUCAACGUGAGAAAAAUUUCCACGAAAAUACAAAUUAAAUUAGGAGUGAAUGUAUGAAAUAAUAAACUAAAGGACCAAUUUAACCAUUAACGGUUGGACAAUUAACCAUGCAACCAAGAGAGGAAUUGAGCUUCUGGACAACAGAGGAACUUAGGCAAUCAAAUGCUUAAUUACUAGAGCGGUGAUUGAGAGAACACUAGAAAGAAAACAGCUCAAGCAGUAAGUAGCACCGACUGGGAAACAUUGACCACUGAGUGGACUAUUCCUUCUGAUUCUAGAGUCUUAUAAGCUGCUAAGUCCAAACAGUGGCAGAAGGAAAAUCAAGAGAAAUCCACAGCCAAUAAUUUGCUAAGUCAAGCGGUGGAAGUGAGGAAACAAAUAGAAAGUGGCUUGCUAAGUUGGCGGUGGCCGAGUGGAGAAGUGAGGCUUGAAUUCUUUUCUUACCAACAACACCAAGAGCAAAACUGAGAGAGACUAAGCCAUUUCUUUUCAUCUCAAGACACAACCGAGAGAGAGGAAAAUAUUUCUGGUUCUUCCUUGUUCCAGUUUCCAACCGAGAGAGAGAGUGGGGGAGAGAGUUAGACAUUUGCUAGCUUUAUUUCUCCAGCUAGCAACCUCAAAAUCGUGAGCCAAAGUGAGUGAGAGGGAGAGAAAUCCUGGUGGUAUGCUUCACCUAAUGGCCUCAAUCGAAUGAGAGUGAAGUAGCUAGAAGAAAGAGUGAGAGUUGGCGCAAUUUUGAGGAACCGAAGCUCAACUUGGAGCCGCCUGCACUCGCUGAAUUCUAGAGGAAAGGAGUUCUUGUCCUUAGUUUAGCUACCGAGAGACAUUAGGAUGAAAAGGAGAGAAAGACCAAAAGAAAGAAACAACAACAACUACUAGGAACUCAUUUUUGGCCUCCUUCAACCGUGAGAACCAGCCACAAAGAAAGAAGGAAUGCAGUCUAUCGAGCUAAGAAUGGGAGAAAGAAACCAGAAUUUUAUUUUCCUAACUUAGAGCCAUAAGAACCAGAGGUAAACUUCUGUCUUUCUCUUCCAUUUCUUCUACGUUUAGCUAGUAGUCUUUUAGACUGAGUUGGAACCAAGUUAAGAAAACUUUAUAGAAAACAAAGGUUGUCAAAGCUGGGAAUGUUCGUUUGAACAUGAAUGUUCUUACUCUAAUGUUUAUAUGAUUGCAAGUUAGAUUUGAGUGUAAAAUAAAGAGAUUAUUAGAGAAAUUUCAUACUUUUAAACUGCUAGCUGCUGAAACUCCUUCAUCUUGGCCGAGAGAAUAAAAGAGAGUAUUCACCAACUUUUCUCUUCAAACCUCGGCUGUAAAUUCUAUAUUGUGAUUCAAAACACCUCAUAGAAUAAAAAUUAUCACCUGGAUAUUAAGUUUGAAUAAGGAAAAUAAAGAAUUUUACGGAGAAAACUUGUUUUCCAACCUACCUACUUGCUGGAAUUUUUCAACCUCAGCCGAGAGAGAUGAAAGGGAUUUUUUUUCUGAUAUUUCUCUAUAGAUUUUGGGCUGUAAACUUUCAUAUUAAGGUUGAUUACACCUUAUAAUAUCAUUAGAUGGUCAUGUAUGUGAAUUUUGGGGUGAAAAUGUGAUUUUUAUGGCUGGAUUCUUGUUUGAAA